AGCCGGCCACAGGCGGCGGCCAGCCCGGGCUGCUGGUACCCCGUGUGCCUGCUGGCCAUGGGCCCCCCGGCUUCCACCCCUUAACCCCUUCCCGGCUUCCCUUUCCCAGCCGGCCAUCCCCCAGCUGGCCUGGCCCACAAGAUUCCCAGAUUUCACAACCGGGCUGGCGCUGACUCACGUACAACAGGGUCCCUAACUCUGAAGCCCGGGCUGACUGGGAACUCACUCUUGCUCAUUUAGUUCCCACUCCAUGAUCUCUGCAGCACGGAGCACACUCAUUUCGGACUUGCGAGAUCAUCUGUUCCUUGCUGUGCCGUCAGCUCCCAGGGCCUUUAGUCUCCCACUCUUGGCUGCCAAGGGACCUUACUCAGCACCCGGUAGUAGAAGGAAGAUCACUUACGAGCCAAUGUCUGAAGUUUCUAAACCACUGCAUAGCAAAGAUGUUCUUGUCUGCGACUUUACCAAGGGACAGAGCUUCUCUGAGUGGCUGUCCUGGAACUCACUCUGUAGACCAGACU